UUGUAAAGUCAACAAAAGGAAAGAGAGAGUGAAAAUUAUUCUUUGUUGCUUAAAACAAAUUAACGGAAUUCCCACUUUUGUCUCCUUCUUCAUCGCCAACUACGCUUCCCCUCUCAAUUUUUUGUGUAACAAACAAACAAACCCACAAUUCCCUAAAACUCUCUCUCUCUCUCUCUCUCUCUCUCUCUCUCUCUCUCGGUUUUGAAGCAAACAUGAACGGGAAGGCUUCCGUUUCUAAGGAGCUUCAUGCGAAACACACCAAGAUCUUAGAGGGACUUCUUAAGCUACCUGACAACAGGGAAUGUGCAGAUUGUGGGACCAAGGCACCACGAUGGGCUAGUGUGAACUUAGGAAUUUUCAUUUGCAUGCAAUGUUCAGGGAUUCACCGGAGUCUUGGAGUGCAUAUAUCAAAGGUGAGGUCCACAACUUUGGAUACAUGGUUGCCAGAACAAGUUUCUUUUAUGCAAUAUACGGGUAAUGUGAAGUCAAAUAAGCAUUGGGAAGCUAAACUACCACCAAAUUUUGACAGAAAUGGAUAUGGAAUCGAGAAGUUUAUCCGUGCCAAAUAUGUGGAGAAACGAUGGGCUUUACAAGGUGAACUACAAGCUACAAAGUCAGCUGAAAUAAAGUUGAACUUGAACUUCAAAAUUUCACCACCUACUGGGGCCAAGAAUGGUAUUCAAAAACCUAGGAGAUUGUCUCUUGAGGAAAGCAUUCUUGUGAAUCACAUGGCACAAAUUCGGCCUCCAAUACCAAAAUUUAAUGAGGGUCCCUUAGAUUUAAAAAUGAAGAAUUCACCACCAAUAAAGAGGCCAUCAGCAUCACUUGAUUUUGAUAAACCCAUUGGAAAUAGCAACGGUACCGUCGAUCUUUUUAACUUGCUUUCCUUCGACAACGAUAAAAAGAAUAUAUCAACUACACCUUCUAGCUGGACAACAUUUGAUUGAGAAGGUGUGCAAAUUGUUUAUAGAUUUGUUGAGCUAGCUUUUUGGAUAGAUGUCACAAGAUUAUGGUUAAAUCCGUUCGUGCAAUGUUGCACGAACAUCAAGCUGUGUUGGUCUGGUUUGUGGACAAAUUUUUCGAUCUGACUUCAUCAGCAGGAUAUAGAUUAGGCUCUCAUAUACAACAACAAUAGCCCUUUGAGGUUGAUACAUCACAUAUAGCUUGAGGUAGUCAUUACAAUGAUUUAAUUUGUUACAACUAUCUCUUAUUCCUGCAAUAGCCACUGAUUCAAAUUUCAUAUGGAGUAUAGGAUCAAUGGAAUUCACAGUUAUUUUUUGUUUUCUUGUUUCACAAUGUCACUUCCAAGAAUAUGUGAUUCAAGAGGUUAUACAUGAAAUAUGUCCCAUUGUUUAUCUUGUGUACCUUUUUUUCUUCAUCUUCUUCUUAUAUAUCAAAUUAAUCUAAAUAGAUGUUAACUUUCUUCAUUGAA